CGGCGGUGUCGGAGGCGAAGAGGGCGAGGGUGCACAGGAGCAUCUCUGAAUUAGUACUUUUGUUUGUUUAAAAUAAAAAAAAAGUUAACUAAUAAUGAAGAAAACCAGAGAAGAAGGAAAAAAAAGAUGAAGUUAUCUUAUUAAGAUUAAAUUAUAAUAUUUUAAAAGAAUCUUGCAUUAUUAUGGACGUAAAUUGUAUUAUUUGAAAUAUAAACUACACCAUUUAAAAUGAAAAUUACACUUUUUAAAUGAAAGUUGUACUCUUUGAGAGAUAUUUAUACUGUUUCUUUUUUUGUUACACUAUUUGAGAUGUAAACUACACCUUUUAAGAGGAGAAAUAGUAUAAAUAUCUCUAAAAAAUUAUAACUUUCGUUUAAAGAGUGCAACUUUCAUUUUAAAUGAUACAAUUUAUAUCUCAAAGAGUGCAAUAAAAAAAAUCAGAAUAAAUAUCUCCCAAAGAGUAUAAUCUUCAUUUAAAAAAUAUAACUUUUAUCUUAAAAUGUACAGUUUAAUCUUAAAUAGUGCAACUUAUGUC
rnacentral:lncRNA from 1 species